rnacentral:sRNA from 1 species
ACCGAUAUGGGCCAUAUGCAAUCCCCUUCGUCAGCUAGAUCGCUAUAGGAGUCGAAAAGUCGAAAAUCAAACCUGGCCAAUCGAUUUAAGAGACGUAUUUGUAACCUAUGCACCACGGUGCCCCUUCAAUAUAGUAUAUCAUAAAAUGUUUUUCACGUUAUUUGAAUGUAAUUAAAAGCUUUGGAGUUUUAAGAAAAAUGAUUAAUGGCAAUCAACCAAUUUGGCAUUUGUUGUUAACUGCCAAUACAUCAA